AGCGAACGCUGGCGGCAGGCUUAACACAUGCAAGUCGAGCGCCCGUAGCAAUACGGGAGCGGCAGACGGGAGAGUAACACGUGGGAACAUGCCCUUCGGUUCGGAAUAACUCAGGGAAACUUGAGCUAAUACCGGAUACGUCCGUAAGGAGAAAGAUUUAUCGCCGAAGGAUUGGCCCGCGUCCGAUUAGCUUGUUGGUGAGGUAACGGCUCACCAAGGCGACGAUCGGUAGCUGGUCUGAGAGGAUGAUCAGCCUCACUGGGACUGAGACACGGCCCAGACUCCUACGGGAGGCAGCAGUGGGGAAUAUUGCGCAAUGGCGAAAGCCUGACGCAGCGACGCCGCGU
rnacentral:rRNA from 1 species